rnacentral:piRNA from 1 species
UGAAACUUUACAGAUCAUUGCCACUUAU